GGUGGUCUCACACAUCAAGAUCCGCCCAGUCUCACAGCAGAGCUGAGAGGUCAGCAGAGCCACGACAUCUCAGCUGUGUUCCUGACCAAGCCUCUCCUCCAGCUGGUGAACUCCCAAGGUAAAGGCAGAUAUUGGAGACUCGAAAUGAAUGAGGAGGGAGUGGUAUACUCAGAACUGAAGCUGUCUCAUGGCCAAAAAGCGAGGCCAGGCAAAAGAGAUCCCACCAGCAAAAAGAGAAAAACUACGUGUAAAAUCAUAGUGGGGACAACAUGCUUUUUGUUCAUGCUGCUAAUUGCUGGUUUAGGAUACAUGU